UUUGAUAGGUGUUGUGGCUUUGUCUGACCUGGAGUCUGAGGCUUUGGUAGGUGUUGUGGUUCAGGCUGACUUGUGGUCUGAGGCUUUGAUAGGGGUCGCUGCUUUGUCUGACUUGGGAUCUGAGGCUUUGAUAGCUUUGUCUGACUUGGGGUCUGAGGCUUUGGUAGGUGUUGUGGUUCAGGCUGACUUGUGGUCUGAGGCUUUGAUAGGGGUCGCGGCUUUGUCUGACUUGGGAUCUGAGGCUUUGGUAGGGGUUGCGGCUUUGUCUGACUUGGGGUCUGAGGCUCUGGUAGCUUUGUCUGACUUGGGGUCUGAGGCUUUGGUAGGUGUUGUGGCUUUGUCUGACUUGGGAUCUGAGGCUUUGGUAGGGGUUGUGGCUUUGUCUGACUUGGGGUCUGAGGCUUUGAUUGGUGUUGUGGCUUUGUCUGACUUGGAGUCUGAGGCUUUGGUAAGUGGUGUGGUUCAGGCUGACUUGUGGUCUGAGGCUUUGAUAGGGGUCGCGGCUUUGUCUGACUUGGGAUCUGAGGCUUUGGUAGGGGUUGCGGCUUUGUCUGACUUGGGAUCUGAGGCUUUGGUAGGGGUUGUGGCUUUGUCUGACUUGGGGUCUGAGGCUUUGAUUGGUGUUGUGGCUUUGUCUGACUUGGAGUCUGAGGCUUUGGUAAGUUUUGUGGUUCAGGCUGACUUGGGGUCUGAGGCUUUGAUAGGGGUUGUGGCUUUAUCUGACUUGGGGUCUGAGGCUUUGGUAGGUGUUGCGGCUUUGUCUGACUUGGGGUCUGAGGCUUUGGUAGGUGUUGUGGCUUUGUCUGACUUGGGGGCUGAGGCUUUGGUAGGUGUUGUGAUUCAGACUGACUAGGGGUCUCAGGCUUUGAUAGGUGUGGCUUUGUCUGACUUGGGGUCUGAGGCUUUGGUAGAUGUUGUGGUUCAGACUGACCUAGGAUCUCAGGCUUUGAUAGGUGUGGCUUUGUCUGACUUGGGGUCUGAGGCUUUGGUAGGUGUUGUGGUUUUGUCUGACUUGGGGUCUGAGGCUUUGGUGGUUGUUGUGAUUCAGGCUGACGUGGGGUCUGAGGCUUUGAUAAGUGUUGUGGCUUUGUCUGAGGCUUUGGUAGGUGUUGUGGUUCAGACUGACUUGCGGUCUGAGGCUUUGAUAGGUGUUGUGGCUUUGUCUGACUUAUUGAUUUAGUCUGCAUCUUGGGUGUUGAUCUGGUUUCUGAUUGGGGUUGUGCUUGGGGUGUAGGUUGAGAUGUUUGAUGAUAAUGUGUCGGAAAAGGGUUAUGUGUUAUGGUGUGCAACUCCAGAUCUGGAUAUGGUUCAUGUUGGGGCACGGGCUGGAAUCGUAAUUGAUGAGAAUGUGUUUUUUGUUGAGAACCUGUUUGGGGUUGUUCUGGCCUGGGUUUGGAUUGUGUCGGUGGUUGUUGGAGAUUAAAUGGGUUUGGGGCACGAUUUGGGGGUUGUGCACCGUUUUGCUUGUGGACUGGUACAGAAACUGCUGGAUCUGAAAUAUCAAGUGGAAGUUGGAGAUUGGAAACUGAGGGGACCUUGUGGAAAGGCGGAAUGACAGAUUUGGAGAGUUCUCCACCUGGGUGGCGUGUCAGAGAGAGAGAAAAUAUUUCUAAUAAAAUCCCUUUGAUUCAAAUGAUAGACAAAAGCAAUGAUUGAACUGGCUACAGAAAAUGGCAGCGGUUCGGGCAAGGACCUGAAAAGUAAGAUUGUGGUCCUUGACCUGGUGUAAAUUACACAUCAUAAUUUUUUUUACCUGACACAAGAUUAAGUAUCAGAACGAUCAAAUUUCCCUCGCAGGGUUUUUAUGUGGUAUGAAUCCAAAAGCUGUCUCACUAAGACACUAAGAUAGAAUGUUUUGAUUGGCUACUUGCCUUAUGGACAUUGAUUUGACUGCCCUUGAAAGGGAAUCAGAGAGAAAGUCCAAAAACAGGCAAGGCCGAUAAAUUAAAAUUCCAAGAUGACAGUAAUGCAGAGACUCCAAUUUAAGACAGUCCAUUGUUGUCAUUUUGUUUGCUGUCUGGCUUAACAAACUUGAAUCACCAUUUACCAAUUGGCUGUUUGGUAGUCGCAGGUGCUGUGGAUCCAGAGGUAGACAGAGGUUCCUGUUGAGUCGUUGUGGUGGGAGCUGACAAAUAUAGUACACAUGAAGUCAUAUGAAAGUAGAAAGCAGAUCAAAUGCCGCAUCCA